CAGGCUCCAGACAUCCAGAGACCCUCAGAGCACAAGAGACCAAGGAAGACCAAAAGAGGGGCAACCGUGCCACUCUCCUGGAAAGAGCUGAGGAGAGCCCCAGAUGAGGGGUCACUCAGAAACCGCAGAGCAGAAGCCGGGGGGGUUGCAGUGACAUGCCCGUGAGCUCCGCCAGCAGCCAGCUGUGCCAGAGUGACCGAGCCCCAGGUCGAGAGGCCGAGGGCACCCCACCCCGGAAGGGGCCCGAGCGAGCCCCAGGCUCCAGGCCCCGACAAGCAGCCACCAGGAGUGAGCCAGUAGGUACCUGGGCGCCCAUGCCCGGACACAAAGAACCACCAAUGCACCGAUGUCUGAGGGCGUCUGUCACUGGCAGGGGGAGUGGUGGGGGGAGAUAGGCCUCCAUACCUUGGAGGGCCUGAGAUGACCAUAGAGAGGUGGCGUCUGAUACCCGACCUGACAUUUAGACACAGACAAACAGGCACACACAGAUACAAACAUCUAUUCCCACCCUCAUGCUCUCAUAUGCAAUUACUCAGCACUCACCCAACGUGGAGACAGACAUAAAUAGACACUGUACACACAAUCACACUCCCCAAGCGUACUCUAUACCCCAGGUCUAGGUACCCUUGCCCCUGGAGGGGGAAACUCCACCCAGACCCAGGUAGUGUUACCCUCUUCCCUGGGGUGGGGAGAAGCAGACCGCCCCGACUCCGCAGCAGCAGGGAGGCCCCACAUUCCAGACCCCAAUCGGACGACCAACUCCUCCUCCCAGCUCCCCCGCCCCAACAGGCAACAGAGAACAGGGGUGUGUAAAGACUCCAAACCUCCCUCCGCCCGCUCAUAUGUAGUGUUGAUACAUGUGUGUUCUAAGGUGCAUUUAAAACCCAGGAGGGCAUGGAUAUAUUUUAGAUUCUUUUAGAUUUUUUAUUUUUUUUUACACAACCUGUAAGAUAUUUGACCCGUCUGAUCCAGUUGCACACCCACACACACAGAUGUUUUUUUUUAAGCCUGUCUUGUCUGGCAGUUUUUGCAAUCAGAGUUAUGGUGUCCCACCCCAAAGGUUUUACCACAAGCCACCACUACCUUAGAUAUGUUGCAAUAUUCUAUUCUAUAUACAACAUGAUUGUUGUCUUACAUCUCAACCUUGUUCAGGCAAAGAAGAUAAAAAGAUUAAAAGCUGAAUAUUAUGGCAUUCAUAAAAUGAUAUAGCUGCACACAAAGACAGACACACAAACAUGCAAAAAGCUAGACCAAACACUGGAUCACAGAAAAAAAACAAAACAGGCAAACUUAUAAUACUGAGCACCGCGCUAACCCAAGAGCACCCAGGUGAACUGAAAUUCACCCAAUCUGUCAGUU
ensembl:lncRNA